rnacentral:rRNA from 1 species
CAGUAGCCACGGUAAUACGUAGGGUGCAAGCGUUACUCGGAAUUACUGGGCGUAAAGCGUGCGUAGGUGGUGAGUUAAGUCUGCUGUGAAAUCCCCGGGCUCAACCUGGGAAUGGCAGUGGAUACUGGUUCGCUAGAGUGUGUCAGAGGAUGGUGGAAUUCCCGGUGUAGCGGUGAAAUGCGUAGAGAUCGGGAGGAACAUCAGUGGCGAAGGCGGCCAUCUGGGACAACACUGACGCUGAGGCACGAAAGCGUGGGGAGCAAACAGGACUAGAUACCCGAGUAGUCCCUGUCUCUUAUAC